AGCAGCCGCGGUAAUUCCAGCUCCAAUAGCGUAUAUUAAAGUUGUUGCAGUUAAAAAGCUCGUAGUUGAAUUUCGGGAUCAUCAGGUUGGUCGUGCCUCUGGUAUGUACUUCCCUCGAUGGUUCCUCCUUCUUGAAGAACCGUAAUGCCAUUAAUUUGGUGUUGCGGGGAAACAGGACUGUUACUUUGAAAAAAUUAGAGUGUUUAAAGCAGGCAAUCGCUUGAAUACAUUAGCAUGGAAUAAUGAAAUAGGACGUUCGAUCCUAUUUUGUUGGUUUCUAGGAUUGACGUAAUGAUUAAUAGGGAUAGUUGGGGGCAUUAGUAUUCAAUUGUCAGAGGUGAAAUUCUUGGAUUUAUUGAAGACUAACUACUGCGAAAGCAUUUGCCAAGGAUGUUUUCAUUAAUCAAGAACGAAAGUUAGGGGAUCGAAGACGAUCAGAUACCGUCGUAGUCUUAACCAUAAACUAUGCCGACUAGGGAUCGGAUGAUGUUAAUUUUUAAUGACUCAUUCGGCGCCUUAC
rnacentral:rRNA from 1 species